UACGGGCCUCGCUCUUAGCGGGGAGGUGCGCGGUGUCGGUCGCCACGAACGAGUCUCCGAACGACUCCCGGCAACGGAUAUCUGGGCUCUCGCAUCGAUGAAGAACGUAGCGAAAUGCGAUACGUGGUGUGAAUUGCAGAAUCCCGCGAACCAUCGAAUCU
rnacentral:rRNA from 1 species